GAGUUUUUAAAUACAUUUAUUAAGACCUAACCAGGAGCACCUGCGGAAAAUGCAACUUACAGGUUUCCUGCCAGAGACCUAACGCAUUUUUCGUGGCUGUUCCUGGUUAGGUUUGAUAAAUGUGUUUAAAUUUC